rnacentral:tRNA from 1 species
GACAGUCUGGCCGAGCGGUUAAGGCGUUACACUCGAAUUAUGUAAUGGGUUUACCCGCACAGGUUCGAAUCCUGUGGCUGUCG